rnacentral:rRNA from 1 species
GGGCCCGCACAAGCAGUGGAUUAUGUGGUUUAAUUCGAAGCAACGCGAAGAACCUUACCAGGUCUUGACAUCCCCGGAGUAGCAUGGAGACAUGUGAUGCCCUUCGGGGCCGGGAGACAGGUGGUGCAUGGUUGUCGUCAGCUCGUGUCGUGAGAUGUUGGGUUAAGUCCCGCAACGAGCGCAACCCUUACAGUCAGUUGCUACGCAAGAGCACUCUGGCAGGACUGCCGUUGACAAAACGGAGGAAGGUGGGGAUGACGUCAAAUCAUCAUGCCCUUUAUGACCUGGGCUACACACGUAAUACAAUGGCACUUAACAGAGGGAGGCAAGACCGCGAGGUGGAGCGAACCCCUAAAAAGUGUCUCAGUUCGGAUUGCAGGCUGCAACCCGCCUGCAUGAAGUCGGAAUUGCUAGUAAUCGCGGAUCAGCAUGCCG